AACCCAUGCUGAGGACAUUUCCGUAGGAGAUCCUUGAACUUCUACCAUUUUCACAAAUAGAGACUCCAAUUCCGUUUGCACAAAUGAGGAUAUUUCAUUCCUAAGCUU